rnacentral:misc_RNA from 1 species
GAUGAAGAACGUAGCGAAAUGCGAUAAGUAAUGUGAAUUGCAGAAUUCAGUGAAUCAUCGAAUCUUUGAACGCACAUUGCGCCCUCUGGUAUUCCGGGGGCAUGCCUGUUCGAGCGUCAUUAUAACCCCUCAAGCUCAGCUUGGUGUUGGGGCCUGCUGCACUGGCAGCCCUUAAAAUCAGUGGCGGCGCCAUCUGGCUCUAAGCGUAGUAAUUCUUCUCGCUAUGGAGUCCUGGUGGAUGCUUGCCAUCAACCCCCAAUUUUUCUAUGGUUGACCUCGGAUCAGGUAGGGAUACCCGCUGAACUUAAGCAUAUCAAUAAGCGGAGGA